AUGUUGGGCCUUUUGUCUCCCUGCAUCUCAGAAAUUGAAAUUGCUAAUAUAGUCUUCCAGGGAUUGAUCCCAUCCAUCUCGGAAAACUCAAUAAGCACCGUAAAGGUUUUGGCUCUCAAGUUUUCUGGCCCUGCUUUGGGUGCAGUUCUCAACAUCCUUAGAUGCUUUCCCUGCUUGGAAAAGCUGUAUGUCAUUUGGGAUGAAUAUGUAAAGGCAGAGAUAAAAAAUGUGCGUGAGUAUGACCCACUAGAUCCAAUCAAAUGCCUUGAGAACCAUCUCAAAGUAUUGGUAUUGAAGAAUUACAAAGGUGGUGAGGAAGAUGUUGGCUUUGCCAAGUUCUUUGUUUUGAAUGCAAAAGUGCUAAAGGAAAUCAAAUUUGGAGUUUGUAAGAAAAUUGACAUCGACAAGAAAUGGAUGACUGAUCAACUCAUGCUGCUAGAAGUGGAAACAAGACCUUCACCUGACACUGUAUUCAAAUAUAGAAGUGGUUCUUCUUGUUGGGACACUUAUUUGGAUACCGAGGACUUAUCCGUUGCCGACCCUUUCAGCUGUUGUUUUUUAGACGGGUAG
rnacentral:rRNA from 1 species